CGGGCUGCGGCAGCCUAUACAUGCAGUCCGAGCGGACAGAUGGGAGCUUGCUCCCUGAUGUUAGCGGCGGACGGGUGAGUAACACGUGGGUAACCUGCCUGUAAGACUGGGAUAACUCCGGGAAACCGGGGCUAAUACCGGAUGGUUGUCUGAACCGCAUGGUUCAGACAUAAAAGGUGGCUUCGGCUACCACUUACAGAUGGACCCGCGGCGCAUUAGCUAGUUGGUGAGGUAACGGCUCACCAAGGCGACGAUGCGUAGCCAACCUGAGAGGGUGAUCGGCCACACUGGGACUGAGACACGGCCCAGACUCCUACGGGAGGCAGCAGUAGGGAAUCUUCCGCAAUGGACGAAAGUCUGACGGAGCAACGCCGCGUGAGUGAUGAAGGUUUUCGGAUCGUAAAGCUCUGUUGUUAGGGAAGAACAAGUGCCGUUCAAAUAGGGCGGCACCUUGACGGUACCUAACCAGAAAGCCACGGCUAACUACGUGCCAGCAGCCGCGGUAAUACGUAGGUGGCAAGCGUUGUCCGGAAUUAUUGGGCGUAAAGGGCUCGCAGGCGGUUUCUUAAGUCUGAUGUGAAAGCCCCCGGCUCAACCGGGGAGGGUCAUUGGAAACUGGGGAACUUGAGUGCAGAAGAGGAGAGUGGAAUUCCACGUGUAGCGGUGAAAUGCGUAGAGAUGUGGAGGAACACCAGUGGCGAAGGCGACUCUCUGGUCUGUAACUGACGCUGAGGAGCGAAAGCGUGGGGAGCGAACAGGAUUAGAUACCCUGGUAGUCCACGCCGUAAACGAUGAGUGCUAAGUGUUAAGGGGGUUUCCGCCCCUUAGUGCUGCAGCUAACGCAUUAAGCACUCCGCCUGGGGAGUACGGUCGCAAGACUGAAACUCAAAGGAAUUGACGGGGGCCCGCACAAUCGGUGGAACAUGUGGUUUAAUUCGAAGCAACGCGAAGAACCUUACCAGGUCUUGACAUCCUCUGACAAUCCUAGAAAAUAGGACGUCCCCCUUCCGGGGGCAAAAUGACAAGUGGUGGCAGGGUGUUCUUCCACCUCCCGCCCCGAGAAAUUUUGGUUUAAUUCUCCCCACCCAACCGCACCCCCUUGAUUUUUAUUUUCCCACCAUUCCAUUUGGGCACCUCUAAGGGAAACUCGCCUGUCCAAACCCGAAGAGAAGGGGGGGGUGAGAAUCUCCAAUUUUUAUGGCCCCCUCUUAACAAGGGGUGGGAU
rnacentral:rRNA from 1 species